AUGGUUUUGUGGUUCAUAAGUGUGAUGAUUUGAUUUUCACACUGUUGUGAGGGAAGCAUCUUCCCUCAGCCCUUAUUCCAGUGUUUACACCUUUUUCAUCUGAUA